CUUCCCUGUGCAACAGCUAAGGUCUGUAGGCCCCCUCGGAAUGGCAAUGAAAAGACUGCAAUGAGAGUGGGCCAGGCCAGUGAUGGGACGAGCUAUACAUUUCCGAAGACAGAGAAGAGGAAAAAGGAGGGCCAUGGAAAAAGGCAAGAAGGUCCCGUGACCAAGAAAUGACCAGCUCCACAGAGGAAAUGCAGGGCCACUCUCCGACUGGACCCCACUGUGCACAAGCCUGCUCAAUGUGAAGAUGACGAGGAUGAAAACCUUUAUGAUGAUCUACUCCUAUUUAUGGAGGAAGACCCAGUGGGCUUUUACUGUAGCUGGAACAUUAGACACCAAAACGCAGCCCUUUGCUAGAAGAUGCGUCUUUGUGUUUGCUGAAUGUGAGAGGGAUGGUGGCACAUUCUAUAUUAACCAGAAAAAUGUUCCUGAUGAUAGGACCAACUUUGAUGUCCCUCGGAUCUAGGAGCCAGGCUUAUGGCUGGAGCAGCAACAAUAUUAGGUGUUGAUUAUGGAGUCACUCAGGGACCACCAGAAGCUCAGACUCUCCCCAGAGGCUACCUUAUGUGUGGGGGCAAUUUAGGCCCUUCUUCCCUCUCUCCCUGUCAUGAUCUUCUUCACUAACCAAUUGAGGAACCUAUAAUUAAUAUCAUUUUUCACUGUUUGGCUUAAUGCUUUUAAGCCCUGUUAAAAUGCAAACAAGAUAUCUGGAAAAGUUGAUAAGGAGAUAUGUGAACAUUCAUUGACAUCUCGGCAUGCAGCAGGUUCUCAACUUAGUCAAAAUUACGGCACUGAGUAGGAUGAACUGGAACAUCAGGGCAGGCAGCACAAAUGAUGGGAAAAUGAAGUGUUGCUGAGAGAACAUCCUGAUGGCCAGGAUCACUAUGUACGAAAUGCAGGGGUAUACAGAGAGGAUUGGGAAUGAUUCUCAAUGGUGACUAACAUUUGUAGAAUUCACCUGUGAGGGCAGGCAGUACUAUCAUUAUCCCCACUUCCCAGAUGAGAAAACUGAGGCCCAGAGAUGUUAAGUAAAGUAACUUGCUCAUCAAGUUUACCCAGCCAGUGUGACAAUUUAUACUACGGAAUUGGGUGGGUCUAAAAGCUAAUUUACCUUAGUUCAGAAUUUAGCCUGAGGCUGUCUAGGAAUAACAGAUCUUGCUUUGCUUAAAGCCAUGAUGUUAGAUUAAUUGAUAUUGUGACCCUUGGCAAAUAUCAAAGUUUCGUGGAAUUCUCUAUAAUAAAGACUCUAGACUUUAGAAAAGUCAAUUCAAAACACUAAAGUUAUUCCUUUAUUCCUACUGUUAUCCUAUUCUGUUCCUUAGCUCACAAAGGAAAAAAUAAUCCCCUAUUGACCUCCAAAUUUAGCAUUCAUUUGAUUUCAUUUAUACAUUUAAAAUAGAGAAGAAUUAAAGCAACCUUAUAAAUUAUAUUUUAAUAAGAAUAUUGAUAUCUGAAAAGCUAGCAACCCAGAGAAAUGUUUUUCUUGCUUGACUUAGAUAAUAUUUUCAUCAACAUAAGAAAAACAAAUUGAGCCCCUAUGAAGUAUAGGGUGUGCCCUGGAUUUUAGAUGGUUGCCUAAUUUUCCUUUUCAUGUCUGUUAAAAGCCAAGUUUAAUUUGGAGCUAUUUCUCAAGAAGGGUGAGCAGCUGUGAUUGAUUUAUUUGAAUACUUUACAACAUUUAAAAAUAGUUUUUCUAAUUCACCAGAGAAUUAUUAAAUCCUUGGGGCUGUAUGCUCUCUUUUGUAGUCUUAGGUUCUCUCUCAUGCUUGGACAAUUCUAGUGUCUUUGCCAACAAUAGCUACUUUUUCUUGCACACCACUAAACUAAUCAUUGCAAAAGGUCAUUGUUGUGACAUCAUUCUCCUGUCCCAAACUGUCAGUGGCUCUUCACUUCCUCCCAAGUAAACUCUGUGUCAGAGCCUCCACCAUCUGGGUGCUGUUUACUAUUCAAUACAUAUUUCCCACAGCUUUCUGGGCAAGCCCACUGUGCCUGGCACUGUCUCUGAUCUCCAUGGUGCUGCACGUCUGGCCACCACCCUUUCCUCCCCUCCCUUAGUUAUUUGGCCUCCAAUGCCUUUACCAUCUCUCCAGCCUCCUCCCACGCACUCCCCACAUCUUUGAAAUCUUUUUCUUUUCUUUUUUAAUUCCAGCUCUUUUCCUCUCUAAAACUCAAGAUUUGACAUUUAUUCUAGAAUCAUAAAAGGCUAGAACUCACGGGGACAGGAGUGGAGCUAUCUGUCAUUUUUAAAUAUAGCUUCUCUCAAUCUUUAUUUAGUGGACUUGCUCUGGAUUAGGGAUGAGAAGACCUGACUCUACUGUUUUCUUGAUAAGUGACCUUGAACCAGACACAUGUGCUCAAGUUCCAUAUCUGUAAAAUGAAGAUACCUGGCCUUCCUACUUCACAAGGUUCUUUUGAAGAUCAAAUGUAAUACUGCAUAAUAAAGUGACUCAUAAAUUCUUUUUUUUUUUUUUUUUGAGAUGAAUUCUCACUCUGUUGCCCAGGCUGUCAUGACCUGGUGCAAUUUCAACUCACUGCAACCUCCGCCUCCAGGGUUCAAGAGAUUCUCCUACCUCAGCCCCACCGAGUAGCUGGGAUUACAGGCAUGCACCACCACUCCCGGCUUUUUUAUUUUAUUUUUAUUUUUUGUAUUUUUUGUAUUUUUAGUAGAGAUGGGGUUUUGCCAUUUUGGUGAGGUUGGUCCUGAACUCCUGACCUCAAGUGACCUGCCCGUCUUGCCUCCCAAAGUGCUGGGAUUACAGGAGUGAGCCUCUGCACCUGGCCUGACCCAUAAAUUCUAAAGUACUAAGUGAUGUCCUCAUAUAUAGCACAGUCCCUCCAGCCCCUGCAAUUCAAAGAUACAUCUCACUGUACUUAGGAGAGUUAGAGUAGAGGCAUGACCUAACUUGUUAGCUGUUUAUCUCCUAUAGAAAGUGGUCAACAGAUCUUUGUUGGUAAAAUGAAUGAAUAUUCAUUUCUUAUCUUUCAAUGAGAAUGUGAUAACUUUGGUUAUUGAUGUAUACUUCCGUGCAAAUUUGCUCAUGCAAUUUCAACCACAUCCCCCAGAACAACUUUCUACCAUGCUAAUUGCUCCGAACAUUUAAAUACCAGCAUAGGAAUGGAAGCUACUGACUGUUAACAUUUCUCACAUUUAGUUGCUGAAUGCCUCUCACAUUUACUUACUGAAUGUGUGCUUUAGACCAUCUUAAAAAUAUAAUAGUAUGUCUGAUAAAGAGGCCCAUCAGUCCUCAAAAUGUCUUCAUCUUUUAGUGUUGAAACAAUAAUGAUGAUUUGCUUCAUUUGUGCUCUACACACCAAUGAGAUGAGCUAACUGCAUAUCUACUAUGAAAUAAUGUCUAUUAUUACAUGGAUAACUACCCAUUAACUCCAUUGGAAACACUGGUAAUUACACAGUAUGUUACGUUAAUGCACCUGUGUUAGCUUCUGAUUGCCAUAUUAUUAAUUCAAGUGACCUCUUGAAUUAAUUCAAGUUUCCCAUCAUCAUUUUCUUAUUCUGGAACUCUCUAACACUUUAGAGACUGUUGGCUAAACAAUAAAAGUAUACAGUGAAAACUAUUUUCAAAAAAAAGAGGAUCUGAUGUGUGAUCCCAUUGAUGUUUGUUGUUGUUUUUCACUUCUUUGCUUGACAUAUAUAAACAACUUUAGAGCUAUAUUCUGUUACCUUCUGUGCAAAAUUAGAACAAUUUUCACUUUGUGAAGAGUUGCAGAAAGAUUUGACCUUUAAAAACUCUGAAACACGUCUGGUUCACAAACAGAAUCACAUCUUAAAAGCCCUAAGUUUGCUCUAAAAGUGUCAAUCAAGUUUUCAGCACACUAACACACGUAAUAAUGAAAGGCUUGUAUUUGCUCCUAAAACCCAAGUUGCCUCCCAGUCACUCUGCAUCUGGUUACACCAAACUUAACUUUUCUACAGUCCAUCUAGUCCUGACCUUCCCCUCUUCUUACGAGCCCCCAUUUAACCAAAGCAACUCCAGCCCAGGAGAUGAAAACCCCAUCAGCAUUUUCAUAGUUAAUGACAGGGCUACAAAACAGAAAAUAACAGCGGGAAUCUGAAGCCAGUGCUUUUAUUGGACUAACUAACGAUAUAAAUAAAAUGGUCCCUGACUGAGCUUUGGAGAAUCACUGUCUCUUUAUCAGGCCAUAGAAAACAGAUCCAGGAGGGCAAUAAAUACAGCACAUAACAGAGUGGAAUUAAAUGAUUAGGCCUGAAUUAACACCCUGUUUCUGAGCCUCACUUAGUGUUCCAUGGCCCCAAUGAAACACUGCAAUUCACAAAUGCUCAAGGCCCAUUUAAUUUUUAUUUCAAGCUAGUUCAGAAGAAGGGAUUACCUAUAACUCCCCCCUAUUCCAUUGUGUAACUCUCGAAGUAACAACACUGAUCCUGUCUAGAUAGCUGUUAGGAAAAUAGGCUGUGCUAUAGGAAACACAGAGUCUAUUCAGAAUCCUGCCUCUACAAAAAUCACAUUAAUUCAAAGGGACCAAAUCCCUCUCUGUGAAAGUGACAAGGCUGUCCUUGAUGGGAAAAUAAUGAAUUAUUAGUUAAAUAAACUUGAUUAUUUUCCAUGACAUUAACAACAAACCUAUGCAACUGUCAGCCCAAGAUUUUUACUUUUUGAACUGUGGCUUUAGCAUGCCAAAGAUCCUAAUCAAGUCUUAACUGCAAAAUGGAAUUGAAUCUCACCUUGGAGGGUAAUCUAUGGAGGCCCAUCCCCCAUUACACCAUAUGUCACAGGAUAAGGUGGAUGAGUUUCACUUAAACCCUGUUGGCGGGGAGUUAAUAUUGUUCUAUACGUCUUCAUUUAUACAAUGGCUUUAGAGCAAGAAAUCCAAGGAUGGCAUAAGAGGAAGGCUUCACUGUAGCAGUGAAGUACUUAGAAAUUUUAGACGAAAUAUGCAGCAGAUGAAACUGAGUCAUUAAAACCACUUGUAUACCUGUGACUUGAAGUGAUGUAUGAGAUGGAGAUAUAUUUAGAAGGCAAGGUCCUCAAGAGGUAAGAGAGCUUGCAGUUUUGAGCACUUAGUAGAUGCUGUGUGCUGGUUUUUAUUUUUCCUCAUUUAAUCCUCACACUGUCCUAUAAAGUUGACAUAAUUAUUCCUGUUUACAAGUAAGGAAACUGACCCUCAAAGAGGAGUGUAAUAAUUGCCCAAGUUCACACAGGAAGUGGUAAGGCUGAGAUUCAAAUCCAGAUCUAGCUGAUUCCAAAGCCAGCCCUUUCCGUCAAUACUAUGACUGUCACCUGCUUAGAACUCCUGACUGCUGCCUGGAGCUUUUACUUGGGAUCUUCUAGAAUAACCAAAGAAACAACACACAGAAGAGGAUGAGACUAAUGAAGUAUAGUCUCAAACAGUAGGAAAAAACCCCAAGGGCUUUGGCACUGGAUGAGAUUAACUCUUAUAAAGCCCCAGGAGAUCCAGACAUUCAGUGAAUUAAGGAGCCCUCCUCUGAAAUUAAAUGAACCUGCCUGUCCAAAACUGCUUCCGAGUGUCAGCCAUGGCGUACAUGGGGUCCAGACUCUAUCAUCACCCUGAAAGGGCACCUUGAGCCUUGACUGAAGUAGAGCAGGGAGGAUUCUUCCACAUUUUCAAGAGUAUGAGGUUUGACCACACCCAAGUUUACCCUACCAGUCGGUUCAGCAUAGCGUGUAGCUGUGUAUGGGACAGAAAGGGACACCUAUUAGAUGGAACCUUCUGCCCCAACACUUUUGUACUACAAAAUAACUGUAAUUGUGGCUCAAAUUUAUGCUUAAGUAACUUCAGUGAAACAAUAACACACACAUAACUCUCAGAAAGCAAUCUUACUCAAAAGGCUUGGGCACUGAUACAUUGUGAAGAAAUUACACAAUAUGAAUUUUUUUUAAAAAGGUAAUCACUAGAAAGUUUACAGAUGAUAGAUUCAUGUUAGCAAAAGAGUGUUAAGUAUCUGUUGAAUUACAACUAGACACUUAUGGAAAGUGUCUAAUUUCACUUUCUCUGCACUAUCUUUCUGUAUUACCAGUACCCAAUAAAUUAAAUGCUUUUGACAUUCAAUCAAUAUUACAUGGUAAUAAUCACAUCUUUUCAUUAAAAAGGAUAAAUUCCUUAAAAUUUUAUGUUUUAAGAAAAGGUCUUUGUUUACCAAAAGGGAUAGCAAAAUGAUUUAAGUGAGUUUAAUUUGAAUUAUUAAUUUUUUGUUCCUCGGCCAGCAGUUCUUCAGCAAAGGUCUAGAUUAUGGUGAUUGUUCUUGGUUGUGGUUUUUUAACAGUAAUGACAAGGCCCUUGAUAUCCUCUGGCCUUGACUUAGACACAAUUGCAGGCCUCCUUUUCACCUUUAGUUUUAGUAUUAAGGAAAAUCUAUCUCACUGUCAGGAAUAAAAGCCAGACUAUGUCUUUGAAUUUGAGUCCUUGUCUACUUGACUCCACAGCAAGCCAUAGUUUUAAGCAGCUUUUUUGGGAGAUAGGACCACGUGAAGCAUCUGCCAUGCCCAUUUGCUUAUUUAAGUACUUGUUUUUGUAUUUUGAAAGCAUAACUUCAGUUUAAAAAAUCCACAUAAAAAUGGGGUAAAACUUGGAACAAAAUUAUGGACUACCAGAGGUUUUCACUUACAACUGGCUACAGAAGCAGAGUGCAAUGCAAUCACAAAGAAUUAUUCCUUUAAAAUUGUGAGGUAUCACAUCUGCAUUUUUGAGUGAAUAGCUGACUAUGAUAAAGAGACCAGUUUUACCUUUGUAAAGCUGUAUGUCUCUUCCACGAAGUAGUUCUUUCAUCUAACAUGCGGAUUGCAAUAACUUACAG
rnacentral:lncRNA from 10 species